rnacentral:rRNA from 1 species
AGUGAACGCUGGCGGUAGGCCUAACACAUGCAAGUCGAACGGCAGCACAGUAAGAGCUUGCUCUUACGGGUGGCGAGUGGCGGACGGGUGAGGAAUACAUCGGAAUCUACUUUUUCGUGGGGGAUAACGUAGGGAAACUUACGCCAAUACCGCAUACGACCUACGGGUGAAAGCAGGGGAUCUUCGGACCUUGCGCGAUUGAAUGAGCCGAUGUCGGAUUAGCUAGUUGACGGGGUAAAGGCCCACCAAGGCGACGAUCCGUAGCUGGUCUGAGAGGAUGAUCAGCCACACUGGAACUGAGACACGGUCCAGACUCCUACGGGAGGCAGCAGUGGGGAAUAUUGGACAAUGGGCGCAAGCCUGAUCCAGCCAUACCGCGUGGGUGAAGAAGGCCUUCGGGUUGUAAAGCCCUUUUGUUGGGAAAGAAAAGCAGCAGGUUAAUACCCCGCUGUUCUGACGGUACCCAAAGAAUAAGCACCGGCUAACUUCGUG